rnacentral:lncRNA from 1 species
CUUCAAUGUCCCUUUUACAAAGUCAGCUAUUCUUCAAGGUAAGAAGCUGUGUUUAAAAAGGGUUGUAGCCAGGAAUCUGUCAGUCUUGUGUUCUGCAGCCACUGUUCUUCACCUGCCACUCAGGGCUAGAGGACCCCAAGUCUGAAGCUUUGACCACUCAGGGUGGAUGGGAUGACAGUUACCAAUCAGAGGCACAGACAGGUAACAGGAGGUGGACUUCACAUGUGGAAGGUUUUGUCUCUGGCUCCAGCCAAGCUCUGAGUCCAUCUUCAUGUUCUCUAAUAUGUGGUGGCUUUGUCACUCUGACCUUCAGGUGCUGGAGGAUUUGUAGAGAGAUUGCCAGAAAUACCAGAAGCCAGGAAAUGGUUAAGUCUAUAGGGGAUUAGGGUUGGUUGGAAGCAGCCACUCCUGGCUCUGGGGACCUGGGCUUUUCUGAGGUCAAGGAUUAAAUCUGAAUUCCAUUUCAGUGCUAGGACAGCUUAGUAUUUUGUCCUUUGACUCCUCAUGGUGAGGCUGGACUGGCAGCCAGGGCUCUGGUGGUUUUGUCCUGUGCCCUAUUGGUUACCAUUGAGUAAUCUGAGUCCUCUCAGUGCAGCUCCUUCCCCUUACCUCACACUGACCCAGAGUGGGUGACGAAGGCAGGCAGGGUCAUCAGGGGGAAUCCUGACCCAUGUAAGGGGUUUAUCUUUGUAGUAGCUGUGGUCUGUAGCAUUCCUUGUCGCUCUUUCCUGCCCCGAGGCCACCCAUUCUGUACCAGGCUUUCCAAGUCUAUGGCGAGCAUGUUCUUUUCAAAUACUGCAUUCCUCCAUCCUAUUCACUACUCACUAUAUGUUCAUCCAUCCACACUGCAAAUAACAAAGUAUUGAAAUUCAUCUUCUCACCCAGUUUUGUAAAAUGUCAUUGCAAUUUACAAAUGAACAUCCAUAUGACAGGAAGUAGAGAAUAAUCACCGAACUCUCAGAUGUUAAACAUCUUUGUACCUCUUUUCCAUAUAGCCACCCUAGGCAUACUUAACCAUAUUUGAAUGUGUUUUUGUUGUGUCUUGCAUCAGUAAAAUUGACAGGUGAUAGGUGCAUAGUCACUGCAAUAUCUUUUC